UGGGGAAUAUUGCACAAUGGGCGCAAGCCUGAUGCAGCCAUGCCGCGUGUGUGAAGAAGGCCUUCGGGUUGUAAAGCACUUUCAGCGGGGAGGAAGGCGGUAAGGUUAAUAACCUUGGCGAUUGACGUUACCCGCAGAAGAAGCACCGGCUAACUCCGUGCCAGCAGCGGCGGUAAUAAGGAGGGUGCAAGCGUUAAUCGGAAUUACUGGGCGUAAAGCGCACGCAGGCGGUUUGUUAAGUCAGAUGUGAAAUCCCCGGGCUCAACCUGGGAACUGCAUCUGAUACUGGCAAGCUUGAGUCUCGUAGAGGGGGGUAGAAUUCCAGGGGUAGCGGUGAAAUGCGUAGAGAUCUGGAGGAAUACCGGUGGCGAAGGCGGCCCCCUGGACGAAGACUGACGCUCAGGUGCGAAAGCGUGGGAAGCAAACAGG
rnacentral:rRNA from 1 species